rnacentral:rRNA from 1 species
AUUGACCGCUGGCGGCAGGCCUAACACAUGCAAGUCGAGCGGCUCGGCGGACGGGUGAGUAAUGCCUAGGAAUCUGCCUAGUCGUGGUGGAUACCGUCCUGACACGGGCGCUACUCCCGCAUUCUAUUCGAUGCGCCUAGGUCGGAUUGGCUAGUUGGUGGGGUAAAGGCCUAACACGGCGACGAUCCGUAACGGGUCUGAGAGGAUGAUCAGUCACACUGGAACUGAGACACGGUCCAGACUCCUACGGGAGGCAGCAGUGGGGAAUAUUGGACAAUGGGCGAAAGCCUGAUCCAGCAAUGCCGCGUGUGUGAAGAAGGUCUUCGGAUGGUAAAGCACGUUAAGUUGGGAGGCGUUACCAACAGAAUAAGCACCGGCUAACUUCGUGCCAGCAGCCGCGGUAAUAC